AGAGUUUGAUCCUGGCUCAGGACGAACGCUGGCGGCGCGCCUAACACAUGCAAGUCGAACGAGAGAUAAGGAGCUUGCUCUUCAGAUCGAGUGGCGAACGGGUGAGUAACGCGUGAGGAACCUGCCUCAAAGAGGGGGACAACAGUUGGAAACGACUGCUAAUACCGCAUAAGCCCACGGCUCGGCAUCGAGCAGAGGGAAAAGGAGUGAUCCGCUUUGAGAUGGCCUCGCGUCCGAUUAGCUAGUUGGUGAGGUAACGGCCCACCAAGGCGACGAUCGGUAGCCGGACUGAGAGGUUGAACGGCCACAUUGGGACUGAGACACGGCCCAGACUCCUACGGGAGGCAGCAGUGGGGAAUAUUGCACAAUGGGGGAAACCCUGAUGCAGCGACGCCGCGUGGAGGAAGAAGGUCUUCGGAUUGUAAACUCCUGUUGUUGAGGAAGAUAAUGACGGUACUCAACAAGGAAGUGACGGCUAACUACGUGCCAGCAGCCGCGGUAAAACGUAGGUCACAAGCGUUGUCCGGAAUUACUGGGUGUAAAGGGAGCGCAGGCGGGAAGACAAGUUGGAAGUGAAAUCCAUGGGCUCAACCCAUGAACUGCUUUCAAAACUGUUUUUCUUGAGUAGUGCAGAGGUAGGCGGAAUUCCCGGUGUAGCGGUGGAAUGCGUAGAUAUCGGGAGGAACACCAGUGGCGAAGGCGGCCUACUGGGCACCAACUGACGCUGAGGCUCGAAAGUGUGGGUAGCAAACAGGAUUAGAUACCCUGGUAGUCCACACCGUAAACGAUGAUUACUAGGUGUUGGAGGAUUGACCCCUUCAGUGCCGCAGUUAACACAAUAAGUAAUCCACCUGGGGAGUACGACCGCAAGGUUGAAACUCAAAGGAAUUGACGGGGGCCCGCACAAGCAGUGGAGUAUGUGGUUUAAUUCGACGCAACGCGAAGAACCUUACCAAGUCUUGACAUCCUGCGACGAUGCUGGAAACAGUAUUUUCCUUCGGGACGCAGAGACAGGUGGUGCAUGGUUGUCGUCAGCUCGUGUCGUGAGAUGUUGGGUUAAGU
rnacentral:rRNA from 1 species